rnacentral:misc_RNA from 1 species
UUUCAAAUUUUAUUUUUAUUACUUAUAUUUCUCAAAUUUUUUAAUAAAAAUUCCAUAAUAGAAAUAAUUAAAAUCUAUGUAUGUAUAAUAUAAAUAUAAAUAAAUGUAAUUAAUAUAUGUUAAUAUAUUGUAAGUUACCUUAUAAUAAUGGCUACUUAUCAUAGUAUUAAUAGAGCAAUUAUUAAAUAAUUUAUAACUUACACAUAAUAAAGAAUAUCAAGUAGCAAUAUUGUAAAGGAGAAUGUCACGUAUUAGCUACGAUACAAUAUCAUGAAAGAUAAUAUCAUAUAUUAAACUUUUGAGAACACUUUCUUGCUUUAUAUAUAGAUAUAGAUAUAGAUGUAGAUAUAGAUGUGAUUAAUAUAGAUCCUUGCAUUAAACCUUCUUCUACCUAAUUUUUUGGAUAUUAGUUGCUAAGAUUUUAUGGGGACCAUUAAUUAUCUAUACUGCGUCCCACUGCAAUAAAUGGCUGCCUUUUAUUUCCUAUUUGCCUUUUAUAAUAUAACAGCGUCUUUUUAUGAUCCUGCAUUGCUUGGUAUUGCUAAUAGCUUAAUAAUUCUAGUGUAAGGCCGCUAUCACGGGAUGA